GGAUGAUCCCCGGUCGUGCGGCCCCUCCCCCGCUCCUUCCCGACCUGCGCCGCAGCGAUCACAGACUCUAGGGGAGGGAGCAAUGUUCUCUCCUACCGUUCCAGUGCCUCCAAAGGGGUAAAGCUAGGCCACACAGGUAGGGUGAUUCCUAAAGUGUAAUCUCUCUGUGUUGACCGAACUCUGCCUUCUGCUCACCAACAUCAGCAGGGAAGAGAGAAGAGCAGUACCAUUUGCCCAAGGAAUGUCCAUCACUCAUCUGGAAUGGCUUAACACUGACCAGGCUGACUUAGGAUGCUGUCACCACAUCAAUCAGAGACAAGAGAAGACAUCAGUUGGAGGGGCUGUUGGCUUAUGGAGUAAUGGUGUGGAAAGCCUUGAGAGGAGAUAGCACCUCGAUGAACACCUCAUCGCACCUCCAGCAUCCCCCCGUCAUGCUGAUUUCCAGACUCAAGUGCUGAGCAGUGAGACCGGCCUCCGUGGUGGCAGCCUAAGGCCAAUCUCUGCAGCAGCAGGAGCAGAUUCUCAUGGCUGGACUCAGAGUUCCCAAUCAGCCCAUAAGUAUAAGAUGAUGACCAGAGGCCGAGGCGAGUUGUUGUCUCCAGGCCCGCCCUUCCUUUGUUUUCUGUGCUUCCCUCCUUUGAAGAUGUGUUCCAGGGGUAUCUCCUGCUACUAAACAAAC
rnacentral:lncRNA from 1 species